AGUGAGGUGGCUGAGUAUAGGUAAUAAAUUGUAAAUUUAUUUACGAAAUAAAUUUCUCUCACUA
rnacentral:tRNA from 1 species